rnacentral:rRNA from 1 species
UGGGGAAUAUUGCACAAUGGGCGCAAGCCUGAUGCAGCCAUGCCGCGUGUAUGAAGAAGGCCUUCGGGAUGUAAAGUACUUUCAGCGGGGAGGAAGGGAGUAAAGUUAAUACCUUUGCUCAUUGACGUUACCCGCAGAAGAAGCACCGGCUAACUCCGUGCCAGCAGCCGCGGUAAUACGGAGGGUGCAAGCGUUAAUCGGAAUUACUGGGCGUAAAGCGCACGCAGGCGGUUUGUUAAGUCAGAUGUGAAAUCCCCGGGCUCAACCUGGGAACUGCAUCUGAUACUGGCAAGCUUGAGUCUCGUAGAGGGGGGUAGAAUUCCAGGUGUAGCGGUGAAAUGCGUAGAGAUCUGGAGGAAUACCGGUGGCGAAGGCGGCCCCCUGGACGAAGACUGACGCUCAGGUGCGAAAGCGUGGGGAGCAAACAGG